UACGAAAGGUGCUAGCGUUGUUCGGAAUUACUGGGCGUAAAGCGCACGUAGGCGGCCUUGUAAGUUGGGGGUGAAAUCCCGGGGCUCAACUCCGGAACUGCCUUCAAGACUGCAAAGCUAGAGGACGCGAGAGGUUAGCGGAAUUCCGAGUGUAGAGGUGAAAUUCGUAGAUAUUCGGAAGAACACCAGUGGCGAAGGCGGCUAACUGGCGCGUUUCUGACGAUGAGGUGCGAAAGCGUGGGGAGCAAACAGG
rnacentral:rRNA from 1 species